GACGAACCGUGCGAGCGUUGUUCGGAAUCACUGGGCUUAAAGGGCGCGUAGGCGGGCUGCCAAGUCUGGGGUGAAAUCCCACGGCUCAACCGUGGAACUGCCUCGGAUACGGGCGGCCUCGAGGGGGGUAGGGGCGUGCGGAACUGUGGGUGGAGCGGUGAAAUGCGUUGAUAUCCACAGGAACUCCGGUGGCGAAGGCGGCACGCUGGACCUCUACUGACGCUGAGGCGCGAAAGCCAGGGGAGCAAACGGG
rnacentral:rRNA from 1 species